rnacentral:tRNA from 1 species
CGGACCUUAGCUCAGUUGGUAGAGCGGAGGACUGUAGUUGAAGCCGAGAAUCCUUAGGUCACUGGUUCAAAUCCGAUAGGUCGGA